CACGUAGGGCGCAAGCGUUGUCCGGAAUUAUUGGGCGUAAAGAGCUCGUAGGCGGUCUGUUGCGUCCGCUGUGAAAACUCGGGGCUUAACCCCGAGCCUGCAGUGGAUACGGGCAGACUAGAGGUAGGUAGGGGAGAAUGGAAUUCCCGGUGUAGCGGUGAAAUGCGCAGAUAUCGGGAGGAACACCGGUGGCGAAGGCGGAUCUCUGGGCCUGUUCUGACGCUGAGGCGCGAAAGCUAGGGGAGCGAACAGG
rnacentral:rRNA from 1 species